GCCAAAAAUUGCACCAAAACCGAUGCCACCCGCGGCGUCCGUGAACAAAUUAAGUUUAGAGGAAUUUUGCCAUCUGUCAUCAAGAAAGAAUGAUCGGCCAUUAAAUGUUGACAGGAAAGAUAACCAAACGUUUAAAUCCUCUUUAGCCUCGCCAUUAAGUUUUAUUAGGUGAUGAGAGAAACGGACGCCGUGGGUGAGAUCGAUCAGUCGACGCAAAAAUGCCCUUCCUGGGGUGACGACGCUGCACGCAAAAUUUAACAGGCCAACUAGGG